rnacentral:rRNA from 1 species
GAUGAACGCUGGCGGUAUGCUUAACACAUGCAAGUCGAACGGACUCUUCGGAGUUAGUGGCGGACGGGUGAGUAACGCGUGAGAAUCUGGCUUUGGGUUCGGGACAACCACUGGAAACGGUGGCUAAUACCGGAUGUGCCGAGAGGUAAAAGAGAAAUUGCCUGAAGAUGAGCUCGCGUCUGAUUAGCUAGUUGGUGAGGUAAAGGCUCACCAAGGCAGCGAUCAGUAGCUGGUCUGAGAGGAUGACCAGCCACACUGGGACUGAGACACGGCCCAGACUCCUACGGGAGGCAGCAGUGGGGAAUUAUCCGCAAUGGGCGAAAGCCUGACGGAGCAAUACCGCGUGAGGGAAGAAGGCUCUUGGGUUGUAAACCUCUUUUCUUAGGGAAGAACAAAAUGACGGAACCUAAGGAAUCAGCAUCGGCUAACCCCGUG